AUGGUUGUUGGGUUUGAGGUUGUGCCUUGUACUGUAAUGAUUAAUGCUGAUCCAGUGAAGAAGUUGAAACCGAAUGAUAAGUUCCCAAAUAAAUUGAAAUGUGAUCCAAACACCGUGUCAAUGCCGAUCAAGCAAGGGCAGCCGAUUGUCUUUACCAAUGAGGUUGAAUUUGAGGAGGGUGACAUCAAGUGGCCAUCGCGAUGGGAUGCUUAUUUGAAGAUGGAGGGAGCAAAAGUCCAUUGGUUCUCCAUUUUGAACUCCCUAAUGGUGAUCACAUUCCUUGCUGGAAUUGUGCUAGUCAUCUUCUUGAGGACUGUUAGGCGGGAUCUGACCCGUUAUGAGGAACUUGACAAGGAGGCACAAGCACAGAUGAAUGAGGAAUUAUCUGGGUGGAAGCUUGUUGUGGGGGAUGCAUUCCGUGCCCCAAACAAUGCCUCCCUUUUGUGUAUCAUGGUUGGAGAUGGGGUUCAGAUUCUUGGAAUUGCUGUUGUGACGAUAUUGUUUGCAACUCUUGGAUUCAUGUCACCGGCUUCACGUGGAACACUUAUUACAGGUAUGCUUUUUAUCUAUAUGAUACUUGGUAUUGCAGCUGGUUAUGUCGCUGUUCGUCUCUGGAGGACUAUUGGCUGCGGUGAUUCCAAAGGAUGGGCUUCGGUCUCAUGGAAGGCUGCUUGUUUCUUCCCUGGUAUAAGAGAGAGAGAGAGAGAGAGAGAGAGAGAGAGAGAGAGAGAGAGAAGACUUAACCACCGCCACCACCGCUACUCCCUCCCUCACUAUCACCACAUCUUUCACAAGAUCAGUACAUCCACCAUCAGAUUGAACAAGAUAAGAUCCUCAAAGGAGGCUUUACUACAAAAGGGAUUCGGGUCUGCCUGGAUACAUGGUUGUUGGGUUUGAGGUUGUGCCUUGUACUGUAAUGAUUAAUGCUGAUCCAGUGAAGAAGUUGAAACCGAAUGAUAAGUUCCCAAAUAAAUUGAAAUGUGAUCCAAACACCGUGUCAAUGCCGAUCAAGCAAGGGCAGCCGAUUGUCUUUACCAAUGAGGUUGAAUUUGAGGAGGGUGACAUCAAGUGGCCAUCGCGAUGGGAUGCUUAUUUGAAGAUGGAGGGAGCAAAAGUCCAUUGGUUCUCCAUUUUGAACUCCCUAAUGGUGAUCACAUUCCUUGCUGGAAUUGUGCUAGUCAUCUUCUUGAGGACUGUUAGGCGGGAUCUGACCCGUUAUGAGGAACUUGACAAGGAGGCACAAGCACAGAUGAAUGAGGAAUUAUCUGGGUGGAAGCUUGUUGUGGGGGAUGCAUUCCGUGCCCCAAACAAUGCCUCCCUUUUGUGUAUCAUGGUUGGAGAUGGGGUUCAGAUUCUUGGAAUUGCUGUUGUGACGAUAUUGUUUGCAACUCUUGGAUUCAUGUCACCGGCUUCACGUGGAACACUUAUUACAGGUAUGCUUUUUAUCUAUAUGAUACUUGGUAUUGCAGCUGGUUAUGUCGCUGUUCGUCUCUGGAGGACUAUUGGCUGCGGUGAUUCCAAAGGAUGGGCUUCGGUCUCAUGGAAGGCUGCUUGUUUCUUCCCUGGUAUAGCCUUUUUGGUCCUCACCACUUUGAAUUUCCUUUUGUCGGGAAGUCACAGCACAGGGGCCAUUCCAUUCUCUCUGUUUGUUAUUCUGCUUCUGCUCUGGUUCUGCAUCUCUGUUCCCCUGACCUUAAUUGGUGGAUACUUUGGGGCAAAAGCACCUCAUAUUGAAUACCCUGUUAGAACCAACCAGAUUCCUCGGGAAAUCCCAGCUCAGAAAUACCCAUCCUGGCUGCUUGUUCUUGGUGCUGGUACCCUCCCUUUCGGUACCAUUUUCAUUGAGCUAUUCUUUUUCAUGUCUAGCAUUUGGAUGGGCCGUGUAUACCAUGCCUUUGGAUUCCUCUUUAUUGUUAUGAUCCUUCUUGUGGUGGUGUGUGCUGAAGUGUCGUUGGUUCUGGAGGAUUGGAAAUGGUGGUGGAAGUCAUUCUUUGCUUCUGGUUCUGUCGCCAUAUACAUCUUCUUGUACUCCAUAAACUAUCUUGUAUUUGAUCUCAAGAGUUUGAGUGGACCUGUCUCUGCCACUCUUUACUUGGGAUAUUCGCUCUUCAUGGUUAUAGCAAUCAUGCUGGCAACUGGCACAGUUGGGUUCCUUUCAUCAUUCUGGUUUGUGCAUUACUUGUUCUCCUCCGUGAAGCUGGACUAAACAACUUUUUCCCGCUCAAAAGAUUGGCACUUUGAAGAGCAUUGGUGGCAGCCGUUUAAGGGACAAAGAACGAAACUUGCAAAGGAUAUGUUUACUUUUCUACAGUUUAUUUUGCUAGGGAACUUAGAAAAUGUAAUAACAAUAAUUCGUCCAGUUUUGCUUAAUUCUUUAAUAGAUGGAUAUCAUGGCAUAUGAUAGUUUGCUACCAAAUUUAAUUUGCAUUCUGGCGGAUGGAGGCAUGUCUAGUUGAUGGUAGUUGGCAUGGGAUCUUUAGUUUGUAACUUUUUGACUAUUCAGUUCUGUUUGUUUUGAAAUACUAAAGGCAAAGAUUAUAUGCUGUUUAUUUCCUGACUCUCUUUGAACAAUCUUGACUUGUUUUGUAUUGCUUAUGCCUCUGCUUCAUUGUAUGAGUUUGCAUAUGAUUUAGUAAUCUUUCUAUUUGUUGCAUUUCAGUUAGAAUUCUUACUUUUCAUACUAUUCAAAUAAUGAAAUUAGUUCUUCUCAAAAAAAAGAAAAAAGAAAAAAGAAAAAAAGAAAUUAGUUUAUGACUUAGCCUAUGUCACACACUUCAUUGAGUUUAGCACGAUCUAAAGCUGCACAAUACAGCCCUUAUGUUUGCCACACUCCCUGUCAGCGUGGUGCUUUAGGCUUAGAUGUUACCUUGAUCCAAUCCUUGGAACUGGAGAUGUACCGAGUGUUGCGUUUCAGCUUGAUGGCAUAAUAGCAUGUCUGAUGUCUAAAGCAUCAAAUGUGUUUUGCGUUUCAGCUUGAUGGCAUGAUAGCAGGUUUGAUGUCUAAAGCAUCAAACGAUUGGAUUUGGAUAGAAACCUCGUGUAUUCCACGUUCCUAUAUUAUCAAAGUGUGUAAUGCUGUUGAAAUGACCACACCCUUUUUUCACAUCUUUGGACUCUAAUUUUAGAGUCCUAGAAAUAUCUGUUAUAUUCUUUCGAUUUAGAAUCCUAGAAAUAUCUGUUAUAUUCUUUCUUCUCGAAGCCCAUAUUCUUUUUGAAUGUUCAUAUUUUACCCUGGUUUGUCAAUUCCUUUCAAUUAUAUACACAUUAAUAUAUGAAGAUAUAAAACAAUAACAAAUGAUAAAUACAUAUACUCUCUCAAGUUUGGUGUAGCAAUAAGUUUUCAUACGACACAAAUUGAUAACAUUUUUAACAAGUAGCGAAGGUUCCUUGCCACUGACUGCACUUUUUUAUUGGUCUAUAACUUAGGUCACAUUUAUAGUGGCAAUAGUAAUACAUCUGCGAAAGUUGGAAAACUUGUUAAUGAAGAAGUGAAAUCUUGUGUGUGUUUGAAACUUAUUGCUGACAACUGCCAAUAAUUAAAUGCUACCUUGUCUACCGACUUUUCACCAAACAGAUUGCCUCCUCUACUGGUAAGCCACCCCAGCAGCACACAAAGGAGUCAUUUGGUUGAAAAAUAAUACCUAAUUUCUGAACUUUAUAUGAAAACUGCUACACUUUAAAAAAGUGAGUUCAACUCACAGUAUUUGGGUUCAAUCACGAUUUCCAAUAGACCUAUGGUAUGUUAGCUUGAAGUGUUGUGUUGAGUCCAUGAUUUUAGAUAGUGGACUUUAAUUGAUUCUCAAAAAAAAAAAAAAAAAAAAAAAAAAAAAAAAAAAAAAAAAAAAAAAAAAAAACGUAUAGUGGACUGUAUUGGUUCUAUCCGGAUUGUCUCUAUACAUAGAAUUACCUUUUAUUUAAUUUAAGAAUAUAUUGUGGCAAGAUCUUAUCGAAUGAGGAGUUAGUCUUUAUACAUUUUUUUUUAUAAGUAUUCUUUAUAAAAUUUUAAUUUAUAAAUUAUUUAUGCUAUGAUACUAGCAAUAUACAGCGCAAACAUUAGUUAAUUAAUUAAUAAAUAAAAAGUAAACACUGAUAUCGUUGAAAUUGUUCCAAAAUAUGAAAAUAAAAACACCUAAACUUUGCCAAUCUGUUAGGUACUAGACAUCACAGCUAUGAUAAUUGUGUGCAGUAGGUACUUGUACAAAAUCAGUUAGAGCAAGCAUCAAAGUGUUGUACAUUGUUAGUUGGAGUAAGUUGGAGUAUGAGUUGUAAUUGAUGUACCAACAAUAAGGCAAUAACUAGUAUAAGACUGAGAUGAUUGUAACAGAGGAAAUAUAAUAAGAAUACAUUUACUUAGCUCUCAUUGAGACUAACUUGGAGGUUGAUUCUCUCGAAGAAUCAGUGGAGGACUAGUUCCCUCGAAGAACUACCAUAUUGUGAGUCAGAGAAUUAAAGAGUGAAUUACUAAGGACUUUAACAUUUGAUAUCAGAUCUGGUUCAGCCAUGGUGCAAGAAACCAGAUAUUCUUUGUUGAGUGACUUUGUUUCGUUGGUACAACAGAGACUGGAUGAUCAUGCUUCUACCAUGGAAAUUAUUUCGAGAAGAUUGGAACAAUUGGAUAGCAAUUUCAGAGGAAUGCAAGCUAUGAUGGAAGAGAGGUUACCAGCAGUACAGCAACAAGUUAAUCAAGGGGAAAGAACAGUUCAUCACCAAGAAAAUCAUUGUCCUGAAGCAGAGGUGUUGCAACAGCCCAUACGCCAUCCACAACCUGAGGUAGGUGCUCUAAUUCCUAGGCCUAUCAGGUUAGAAUUUCCCAGAUUUAGUGGUGGUGAUCCUUCUGCUUGGAUCUUUAGGGUUGUGCAAUUUUUUCGUUACUAUGAAAUACCUAAGGAAGAAAAGAUCUUGAAUGCUUCUUAUCAUCUUGAUGAUGAGGCAUUGAUAUGGUUCCAAGAUUGUGAGAGAUCUCUGGAUUCUUGGGAGACCUUUGUCGGGGUCAUUCAAGUUAGAUUUGGACCUUCAUCAUAUGAUGAUCCCAUGGAAGCCUUAAGCAAGUUAAAAUAGAUUACUACUGUGGUUGCUUACAAGAGCCAAUUUGAGAUGUUAAGUAACAGAAUUAGAAAAUUCUCUGAAUCUCACAAGCUUAGUUGUUUUUUGAGUGGUUUAAGAGAUGAAGUUAGAUUGGCAGUGAGGAUGCAAAACCCAAGAACUCUAAAUGCUGCCUUUGGGUUAGCUAAAAUUCAAGAAGAGUAUUUGUCCACUUGCAAGAAGGUGUAUAGGCCAUUUUCUGAGUUUAGCAUAAGCAAUUGGCAAGAACAACCAAUGGAAAAAUCUGACAAUAAGAAUGAGUCUAAGGCAAGAGUUCCUAUACAAAAGAUUAUUUCAACUCAAAUGGAAGAAAGAAGAAAAAAAGGUCUUUGUUACUAUUGUGAUGAGAAAUGGCAGCCCAGACACAAGUGUAAAGGUCUUAAGCUAUUUAUGAUAGAAGAAGUACAAGAGGUUAAUGAAGUUGAAGUUGUAGAAGUGGGGGUUAAUGCAAAGUUUCAGUUCAAUAAGGUUGAUAUUACUUUAUAUGCUUUGUUGGGCAGCCCUUCACCAGGAACUAUGAGGGUUUUGGGUUAGAUUAAAGGGCAUUGCGUUGUGAUAUUUUUGGAUACUGGAGGUUCUCAUAAUUUUCUCAUCUUUUUACAUCAUCUUUGAUUUUGUUGUGUUUCUUUUGUUUUUUUUUUCUAGGAUUUGCAUUGCAUUACAUUCAUGCAUUUCAUUCUAGGAUUUAUUUGUUUUCUCUUUUGAAAUUAAAAAAAAAAAAGAGAAAAGCAAAUUGUGUUUGACAUUAUUUCUCUUGGAUUUUGAAAAUAAGGUUGGUCAAUUUAGUUACACAUAACAUGUCUUAUGUACCUUGUUUAGCUUUAAUGAGCUUAUUUAUUGCACUUGACUAGUUGGAACUUUGUAGUGCAUGUUAUGUGGAAAAGAUGUUUAUGGUUGUUGAUCACUUUGUCUUGAUCUUGAAGUCACAUGUUAUUUGACUGCCGGAUUUGAUCCUUUUGAGAAAGGCAUAAAUAAUCAUCUCACCACUGCUCACUAGCCAAUCAUAAAUACCUUAGUGCAUAUCAUAAGAUUUUGUGUUCGAGAAAGUGUAGCAUAUGCACAAAAAGAACAUAAGGUGUUGCCUCGGCUUAAUUGCUUAAUGCUUAAUAUUGGUGUGUACUAUUAGGCUUGAUGCCAUCUCACAUAAAUAAAAUUGGUGUGUAUUAUUAGGUUUGAUGUCAUCUCACAUAAUAACGAGGCAAAAAUACAAGAAACUUACAUGAUUGCAAGCUUUUGUUCUAGGAGAUGUAAGAGUUAUAAGAUGUAACUCUUUAGGUGAUAGUCUCUUUUAAAUUCUAUGUAAUGAAUUUUGUAAACUUUGUGAUUAAUUGCUAUUCACAUAUCACCUCACAUGUAUCUCAAGUUUUUGCUAGUUGCACACACUACACAAGUUACUCUUUGCUAAACUUUGUACAUGUUAUUGUGUGUGUUGGUCUGACCAAUCAAGUUUGAAAAUACUUUGAGAAUUAUGCAAAACAUUUUUUUUGCUUGAGAAUUUAAAAAGAAGAAUGGCUGAAAUUUUCUUUAGAGAAACUGGGAUUAAAACUUGGGUUUUUGAAAAAGCAUUCCAUCUCAUACUCAUGCAUUUUGUUUCAAUUAGUUUAAUGCUUUGAGGAGUUGUUUUCAAACUAUGGUUUGUGAUUUUCAAAACUGUGAUUUUUUCUCAAAAUUUUGUAAGCCUCUGCCCAGUUCGAUCGAUCCAUUCUGAUUUUCGAUCGAUCGAAAAAGUGCUUUAUUUUGUUUUAAAAUGGCUGUUUGAUUCGAUUGAUCGAAUGUAUUUUUCGAUCAAUCGAAAGUCGCGAAUCAAGUUUUUUAAAACACUGUUCUUGACUGAUUCAAACACUUUUUCAAAAAAGUUUUCAAACUUUUCUUUCUCUCUCCGACUCGACAAGGCUAAAAGUCCAAAUUUUUGUCGUUUUCCUCCGGAUUUUUUGCAAGGUUUCUCUUUCCUCAAGCCGGUAUGACUAUCUUACCCUUUCUUUUGAGUUUAUUUACAUCUUUUCAUGCAUUUUCCUUUAAAUUUUCGGACCUUUUUCUUUUUGGGAUUUUUGUUGAUUCACGCCUAAUUUUGUGUAAUUGAUCAAUGGGUUUUUGUGGGGACAUGCUAUAAACAUGAUCUUGAUAGUUUAAUUUAAUCAAUUUUGAGUUUUGUGAGAAAUUAAAAAUUCUAGGGCUUGUAAUUGAUCCGAAUUGGGGAUUUCUGUUCAAUUGGGUUUAAUUGAUGAAGUUGGCCUGUUGUUUUGUUGAAAUUGGUUAUUCUAAUCUGUUUUCAACAAUGUGUGAUGAUCAAUUCAUCAAUUUGUUUCAAAAUUUUCAAGUGGUUUUUCAAAGUUUUUAGGGUUUUUGUUAGAAACUCUAUGUUCGAGCCAAUUUUGUGAAAUUGAACAUAAUUAGAAUUGUGUUUACUGCAUUAGUUCAUGCAUCACAACAUUGUUAUUGUUCAUGCAUCAUAUAGAUUUUUUAUUUUUAUUGUGCUAACUUGCAGUCUGCCCUUGGUUUUAUUUUAUUAUUUUCUUUUGGUUUUCUCUUUGUGUCUCUGUCCUUUCCUUAGCAUCAUGACUAGGAAGACUAGAGCCCGUAGGACUAUUCCCUCCUCUUCUCCAUCCCCUCCUUCUUUUGACCAUGAGAAGUUUCCAAGUGAGAAAAACCAAGAGAUUUUUGAGAAGCUAAACCUUAAAAGAAAGAUUUGGGCUGAGCGUUCUGUUCUCUUAGAUGAACUUGAUCCUGCCAUUAGGGCAAACUUUGAGCGUCAGGGCUGGUUACCCUUGGUGGAUAUUUCUAAUCCUCAUCCACCUUCUGCCUUGAUUAGAGAGUUCUUUUUGAACAUCUCUAUCUGCAUCUAUGAUUCCAACACUUUGGUUAAGAGUUGGAUACGAGGCGUAGAGUACACCAUUACUCUCCGAGUAGUGGCUGAUGCUCUAGGGGUACCUUUGGUCCAGAAUCCUAUCUAUCCUUAUGAUGGGUCUCCCAAGUUGAGUGAUGUCUUAUCUUACAUCACUGGGACUUCUAUCCAGUGGGGUUCUGAUCCUAGGAUCACUUCUGCUAAGCUUUCCGAAUUGCACUAUCUGUUCUUUAGGAUAACCUGUCAUUCUAUCUGGCCCAUAUAUCAUGUUCACACCAUUUCUCUCAAGCGGUGUGUAUUUUUGUACGCUCUGGUUACUGAUGCUCCUAUUAGUUUUCCUUAUCUAUUUAUUCAUUUUUUGAACGAUGUUUAUAGGAGUUCAUCUACUUCUCAUGCUCUUGUUCAUCCUAUUUUUAUUCAUAGGAUUUUGCUUUAUCUUGAUUUUAGUGGCUUCCCUUCCUCUGAGCCCGUUCAUGUGAUUGCUCCCAUAGGUGCGUCUUUUCUUAGACAAAGGGCCGCUCAUCUUAGAGCUGGGUCUAAACACCCUAGGUCUGAGCCUUCUAGUAGCGUGCCUCCUCCUUCUUCUUUUACAGGUCCUGCUGGUGAGGAUGUUCCUGAUCCUGUUGGUGAUGCUGCUACUGAUGUUCCUCUACCUCCUUCGGCCGACUUUGAUGUUCGUCAUACCUUGGAGACUGUCGUGACCGUUCAGGCGGCUCAUGGUCAGAUUUUAGUGGACCUGCUUGAUGAGAUUUGUGCUCUGUGAGCCGACCUUGCGCGUCUUCAUUCACCCUCACCACCUCCUUUUGAUGCUAACUUGUGAUUGCCCUUUGGCAUUCCGUCACAAAAAGGGGGAGUGGAGUUUUUUGUAGUUAGGGGGAGACUUUUUGUUUUUAAAGAGCUUGUGGAGUUUUUAUAUUGUAUCUAGGUGCUUCACUUUGUAUAUCAUUUUUGGGGAUAUCAUGUUUGGGGGGAGUAACUUUGAUUGAUAUACAUGGUAUAUUCAUUACUUUGAUUGAUAUACAUGAUAUAUUCAUUGAUUCUUAUUACUUUGUGAUUCACUGCUUAUUGAUUUAUAUUUAUGAGUUGAUCAUUAAUAUAUGUCUUUAUUCUGUGUUGUGUGAAUCUUACAAGAAUGUUAUACCUGUUGUUUUACUUUUUUCUAUCACACAUGCAUUUAUGCGUUUGUUGAGUGUUUCAGGAAUAUACAGGUUGAUUCAAUUGAGCUACUGUCUACACUUGAAACUGAUGGAUAGUAGUUAGGAUUGAAUUUGAAGUUUACGAGCAUUAUUUUUGUAAAGGGCUUUUUACUUGUAAACUUUGAGCUUUUAAAUUGUGUUUUGUCACGGAUUGCCAAAGGGGGAGUUUGUUAGGUUCUAAAGGUUUAUGAAUUUAUGUAUUUAGAACUCUAAUUUGUAAUAUUGGAAAACCAUGAUCAAAACAAUAUGUUUAGUCUUGUUUAAGUUUGCUCAAAGUUGAUUAAUUAUUGUAAAGUUGGAAUUGAGAGACUAUAGAUGCAUUGGGGCAUUUUGAUAUGGCUCGAUCAAUCGAAAAAUAGACUCGAUCGAUAGAAAGUUGACUAGAUUGCGUUUUCUGUAGUUUUUCCAACUCAGCCCUAAGUCAUUAAACGUUUAGGGUUUUAUGUUUUUGCUCUAGGUAUAUAAGGCAAAACCCUAGCCACGUUUUUAGAGUUGCUCCAGUUGUAUUAUUGCUCAUACAUUGCUGUUUUGUGUAAAUCUCUUAUGAGAUCCAGAGGAGUUUUCCUUUACACAAAGCUUAGGGUUUUCAAGAUAGAGAUUACUUCAACAUCUUGAUGAUCAACUUGGUUGCUACCAUUGAAGUUUAAAUAAUAUCAAGCCUGGGUGCUUGUAGCUGAUUGAAGAAUUCAAGAAAGAAGGAGUCCGUGGAUUCAGAGCUUGCAUGGGGUCAUGUCAGUAAGUUCUACUGGUAGGUAGCAUUAGGAAGUCGAGCGGGGAGCUUGUAAGUCCUUUUGUAUGAACUUCGAUUCUUUCAUAGUGAAUUCAGUUUUGCCUUGAGGAUCGGUGGGUAAAAUCCUCCCUAGGUUUUUUACCGGUUUGGUUUUCCUAGGUGAUCAUAUCUUGUGUUAUUUAUUAUUCCGCUACUUUAUAUUCUUGAUAUGAUUGUUUUAACCUAGAAUUGCUUAAUUUGACUAAGUAACAACUUGGCUAAUUAACUAGGCUACUCAAUCUGGCUGUGUGUUAAGGGGUCUAAAACUAUUCAAAGUUAGCAGCGAGUAGCUUGUUUACCUUGUCCAUGACUGCUUUGUUUCGUUCAGAAGCGAAAACUCUUCUUCUUUGCUGGACAGAUUUCUUCUCAGGAUCCACAUUUAGGUGGUGUUGGAUGAUGUCUGCUGGUAUGCUUGGCAUAUCAUCAUGACUCUAAGCAAAAACGUCAAAGUUAUCCUUCAGAAAGCUGACGAUUUAUUUCUUUGUCUGGAAGUUCAAACUCGUCCCUACCUAGGUUGUCUUUGUAGGAUCUCCUUCGACCAACUCAACCGUCUCCAGUUUCUCGACAAUUUCUGGCGUCUUCUCUUCAAUUAUCCGUGUAUGGUUCUCUUUGGAUGCUAAGACUGCCCGGUAACAUUCUCACGCCAGCACCUGGUCUCCUCUUAUUUCCCUAAUUCCCUAUUCUGUUGGGAACUUCACCUUCAGGCAAUAAGUGGAAGUGGCUGCUUUCUAAUGAUUGAGAGUAGGCCUUUCUAUGAUCACAUUGUAGGACGAAGGUGAGUCUACUACUAAGAACUUGUGUUUAUUGGUUACCUAGAGGGGGUACGAGCCAACCGUGACCGUCAGUGUUACUAUUCCCCAUGGGUACACUUUGUCUCCACUAAAACUGAUGAGGGGGGAUUCGAGUAGACAAAGUCUCUUCGGGUCCACUUUCAAGUACUGGAAGGCAAAGAGGUAAAUGAUAUUUGCCAAGCUCCCAUUGUCUAUCAAAAUCCUCUUUGUAUUGAAUCCUUCAAUCAUGAGCAUAAUAACCAAUGGGUCGUCAUGAGGUUGUUUCACUCCUUUGGCAUCUUCUUCCAAGAAUAGAAUAUCUUGGUCUGUCCACCUUUGCUUCAUAGGUGGCAACCUAUGAACACUGUUCACCUACCUCUGAUAUGACUUCUUAAGGGACUUGAAUGAUCCCCCUGUAGACGGUCCUCUUGUGAUCGUCUUUAUCUCCCCUAUGGCAUUUUGUGGAUAGAGGGGUAUGUGGUCUUUGUUCCUCUGAGAGGCUUCGCAUUGACCCUUAUUAUCAUCCCUAGAUCUGUUGGAAUCUCCCUUCUUUAUGAAUUUCUGCAGUUUCCCUUUUCGUAUGAGUUCUUCUAUCUGCUCUUUCAAGUCCCAACAAUCCUCUAUGUAAUGUUUGUGAUCCUUGUGGAAACGAUAGUAUUUCCUCUUGUCCCACACGUUAGGUGAUGAGUGUAACGGGCUAGGCCAUUUGAGGUAGUGUUCAUCUUUAAUCUGUGCUAAAAUUUGGUCAAUGGACAUAACUAAAGGAGUGAAUUUUACCGUCUGAGGAUUUUUGUCAUCUCUCCCUCUGUUUCCUUCAAUAUUCUGACGAUCUACCCAUUCCAUUUUUAGUCCUCUUCGGUCGUCCUCCUCUUUCCUUGGGCUUCUCUACCCCUUCUAUUGCUGCUAAGGCGUCCUCAGCGUUCAUGUACUUUUAUGCCUUCAAAAGCAUUUCUGCCAUCAUUUUAGGAGGAUUCUUCGCUAGAGAGACCACGAACUCCCUGGACUUCAAUCCAGCUUUGAAGAUUGUCAACUAUACUUUAUCACCUGCUUCAUCCACCUCUAAAGUUUCUCGAGUAAAACGUGUUACAUAUGACCUCAGAGUCUCUUUUUUCUCCUUGCCUGAUGGUAAGCAAAUGAUCUACUGGCUUUUUUGGACGCUGCUCGUCGACAAAGUGAUGGAGGAAAGAAUUGCCCAGCUGCUUGAAGUUGUCGAUGGACGACGUUGGUAGCUUAGUGAACCACUCCUUGGUUGCUCCUUUGAUAGUGGUGGGGAAAGAACGACAUAAUAUCUCGUCAGGGGGCUGUUGGAGACCCAAAGUUGUCUUGAAAGAGUUGAGGUGAUCCAAGGGAUCCUUCAAUCCAUCAAAUGACUUGAGCUGUGGUAGACAAAACUUUGAGGGUACCGGGCAUUCUAGGAUCGCCGUGGUGAAAGGUGAAUCUGUCCUCCUGACCAUUCUAUUUAGACUCCAAUCUAUUUUCUCCUUGAUCGCAUUCCUUAACUCGUCCAUUUCUUUUCUCAUUUCUCUCAAAAGGUCUGAGCUCGCCCCUUCUAAAGUGACUGGUUAUCUCCUCUGGCUAUCUCACCAUUGUCCCAGUUGGUCUCAGAGCGAUUGUCUUCUUAUUGUAGUUGCAACCUUAUCUCUUGGUUCUGUCUGGUAAGUUCCUCCACGCUGGCUACAAGCAUCUGGAUUUGCAGAGCUAAUGCUACAGGAUUUUAGUUAAUGUUGGACUCCAUCUGGACUUGUGAGUUGAAUGGAAUUACGUUCUCGAAACUAGGUGCGAAGAAAGUCGUUUCCCAAAGAUGACGCCAAACUGAUGAUGCUGAAAUCGUCAGUCAAAAUGAUUGUCCAGAGGGAAAGCCGUCCACAGCCAACAAGAUCCUGAAAAGGUAAAUGAAGAACGGAAGAAGUGUGAGUCACCGGUGUGGUGCUUGCCACAAAUCCUCCGAUGGUAAAGUCAAAUAGCUAGAAAGAAGAUUCAGUGCUAGAAUAUGAGAGUGUAUUAGCUAGAGUUUCAGUACCCCCUCAGGUCUUGGGGCGCUAGUAUAUAUAUGCACUUGUUUCUUCCUUCUAGCCAUUGGUGGUGCUUUAAUGGUGGUUUCAAUAUGGUAUCUAUAACGCCCCUAUGGGGUGUUAAUGAUAAGAUCUGUCUCUCCAACAGUACGGAGACUCAUUAUUGUCAUGUAACGCUUCGUCAUUGAUUGUGGGUGAAUGGUUUCAUCUUCGUCUGGCGGGUACCAUCAAAGGGAUGAAGAUUGAUGUUACUCUCAUCCACUGUCUUUUCUAUGGACAAGGGUAUAAUCGAGACUAUCACUAGGCAUAAACCAACUUGAGUAAACUGCUGUCCAUGCAUUAUAUUUUAUUAUAUUGCACAUGAUUACAAGGAGUUUGCAUAAGGUUAAGUGUUAGUCACAAAUUAAGAUGACCGAAUGGUCCGGAUCUUAAAGCACUAAAGAUUGACUUGGUGUUCUUGAGUUAAUAGGUGUAGUUCGCGAUGUGAACAUGUCAAUUCGGGUUGGGUUUGUGCCCAACCCGUAUCAAAAACCAAUCAUAUCUAGUAGAGGAGAUGUCAAUCCGCCGUCAACCAAAGAGGAGCGGCAAAUCAAACCUCCCACAGGAGGUGGGUAGAUUGAUCAACACUGGAGAGGUGGACAACAGCAAAGAUCUAGUGAGAUAACGGCGGGGAGAGGCAGAAAAUGAAGAAAAGCCAUUGAGAUCUCGCCAAGUUCGAUGGAUUUUUUUCCAAAUCUAGCAAAGAUCUUGGUAGAUUUUACUAGUUUUGGGGCUUGUCUUUGGACAACCCUAAGUGUAGUGAAUUACAUGCCAACGACCUUACAUUAUAUUUGACACAAUGCUCUUUUAUUGCAAGCUUGCGGCAUCAGGUCAUGUUCUUAAGAGGCAAAAUAUCAUUGAUUAAAUUGCUCUUAAUUAGGGACGGACCCAGGUGGGGGGGCUUGUGGGGGCCUAGGCCCCCUUUGGGCUCAAAAAAAAAAAUAGUGGUUUAAUUUUCAGUAAAUAAAAAAUAAAAAAUUUAGACUUGUAGCUUGAGCCCCCUCCAAAAUCAUGAAUCAUUAACCCAGCUCAUGUAAAUCUUAAAAAAAAAAAAUGUAAAAAAACAAUAGUAUUCUGUGUAUUAAGAAAAAAUAGUGUUUUUUGUCUUUUAUUUUUGUUGGUAGAUAAUUGCAUCUUAAUAUAUUAAUAUAUUAAGAAACAAUGAUUUUUGUGUAUUUGUCUUAGUUGAAAGUUUCUUAAUACUAUAUGGAUGUGUAUUUAAAUUUUUUUUUUUAAAUUUUUUUCCUUAUCUCCAGCUCCCUGAGCUUGAAAUCCUGUGUUCGUCCUUACUCUCAAUCACAUGAAAUUAGGAUCACAUUAACUGUUAAUUUACAAAUUUGAUUUACCUUUUGACUCUUUUUUCAAUCUUUUCUUCUCUUUUUUUUUUUCCACCUAAGAAAAAGGAGAUAGAGAGUAGAACAAUGGCAAACCUAUCGCAUACAGUGUGCUAAAAGGCUCUAAAUAGUAAAUACUAGUUUAGCACACCAAAUAGUAAAAAACUCCCUCCAUCUGUUAUGUUGUUUGGGUAAAAAUUUUGUAUAAAGAUUUUCACUUACAGUAAUCACUAUAGCAGUGCUAAAAAUUAAAACAUCAUUUUUUAUUCAGUCAACCCUCUCUCUUCUUAAUAACAUAAUCAUUUCUCUCCUCUCACUAAUAAAGAAAUAAUAUUUAAAUAGAAUAAUAAAAUAAUAGAAUAUGAGAUGUAAGAUAUAUUAUUAAGUGGUGUGUUAAAAAUUCAGCAAAAAAAAAAAAAUAAAAUGUUAAAAUAAAUAAAAUAAUUUUUUAAUGUGCUAAAAUAGCAUUGGUAAGCAUUAGUGUUUGGUGUGCUAACCAAUGCUACUUUAGCACACUAAACACUGAUGCUUACCAAUAAAGAAUCAACAAUAAAAGGAAUUCUAGAUGGACCCACAAAACAAGGAUUCUCAAAUACUCCCUGAUGCUUACAAAAGUGCAUUUUCUCAAGUCUAGUUAAUCAGAUUUGUGUCAAAAAAUUGGUCAUCUAAAACGGGUUGUAAUAAGAUUGGGUUAGUGGUCUGGUCAGGUUACGAGUCGAUCAGUAUUUUUUUGUAUAAAUAAUAAUAAUAAUAAUAAUAAUAGAGCAAAAUUUUUCUUUUGAGAAACAACAAAAAAAAUGGUUAAAAAUAAAAAAAUACUCAAAAAUAAAAGUUAAAUAAUACACCGAUUCUUUAGUUUAUAAUUUACAUGAGUCAAAGUUCACAUAUUGUUACCAUUAAAUUUAUGCCGUUUUCUGUUAAGUGCAAAAAAAUGGCAUAGUUUUGUUUUUUUUUUUUGUUUUUUUUUUUUAUUAUUAAAAACAUUGCAUUUAUAAAAUCCAUAAAAAGACAGUGUAAAUAACAAACUCUUUAUUAAAUUUUAAAUUUUAUGUUCUUAUGAAAAAAAAAUAGAAAAUUUAAAUUUUAUGUUCUUAUGGGGAAAAAAAAAAGGUUUAAAAAACUAGUUGGAUUGAAUUGCUUUCAUCGUAGGAGCCAAGUGGCUUAAUCAUUUUAUAACACUACACUCCGAUCCAUGUGAACGGUCCCAGUUUUGGCCCUCAGCCCUCAGCCCUGUAAUAAGCACCCCAAUCUGAAGAAGUGGUGUUCGUUUAUCGUUUGGUUUCAGCCACUUGAAGUUUCCCACUCAAUUCAUCUCUUUGCACCCAAACCCCUCUCCCUCACUCUCUCUGAGUAAGCAACAAUGUUACCCACCACACUCUCUUCUCUUCACUCCACCAGUGUCACUCCCACUCCCACUGUCUCUCCUCUCUCCCCUUUCUCUCCUUCUUCUUCUUCUUCUUCUUCUUCUUCCUUUCUUUCUCUCCCACCAUCUUCUUCUACCCAACGUCGUCGUCGUCUCAACUCUUUAUGCUUCUUUGGCGACACCCAUUUGAGGAUAAGCCCAAAACCCAAGGUUGGUUCUUGUUUUCUGGCCCAAUAUUGUGUUCUUUUAAACUUUUGCUUACUGUUCUCUAAUAAAAAUGUGUUCUUUAUUAGGGACUGAAGGUGAAGUGUUUGGUGAGUGAGCCUUUGAAGGUGAUGAUAUCAGGUGCACCAGCAUCGGGCAAAGGGACUCAGUGUGAGUUGAUAGUCCAGAAGGUAGGUAAGCUUAACCGUGUGUCAUUUAUUAUUUAAUUGAUUAAUCAUAGUGCAAAGUUGUUAUUUUUAAUUAUCAGAGAUUGCAAUGUAUAAGUUGCUAGUGUAAGUAAUAUGAUCAAGUUGGUUCUUUGAUGAAAGAUCCUCAUUUGUUAGUUAAGAGGUUGUAAAUUCAUCAAAUAUUCAUUUAUAAUGUAUUUCAAGGUUCACCGAGUAUGCGUGUAAUGGAAUCUGUCUAUAUGUAUCCAGUCUCAUUGGUUAUUUUUUGAUACAUCUUAAGUGGGGAAGGGGGAUUUGGAUUUGGGCGUUUCCAUUGGAAACACCAGGAGGUGCUAGUUGACCUAAAGGUCAUUGGCAUCUCAUUAUAAUUGGGCACGUUGCGUUUCAUUUGUUAAUAAGCUUGCCUAAGCUAUAGAAUAUUUGGGCUGAUAGCCACAAAAGUUCUUGUACACUGGUCUGAUUUUUUUUGUAAGAAUAUCCUCACCUAUCCACUACGAACUAAUGAGUUGAGAUCAUGAAUGUGGUUUUAUUGUAGGUGUGUGAACAUUUUUUGUGUCAGCUAUGGAAGGGUUUGGCAUAUAUGUUGACAAUUGUAGAUUGUAACUGUUUGAUCCCAUUUUCUCAGUACUCUGGAUGUUGAUACCUAUACAACAAUGCAGAAAUGUAUAGCUGGCUGAAUUUGAACUUCUUGAUAAAGAAGUUGUAUAACAUUGAUGUUCUUGGUGAGGAAUUGUCUACAGAAAUAAAUGGAAAAUUUUUGCUGAGUGCAUGCGCUGUUUUUCAAAAUCAUUAAACUUCCAUUGACAAAAAGUAGCAACUUAUUUAUUGGCUAAUAAAAAAUGUUUCAAGGGCUAUAUAUAGUUUGAUGCCUGGAAGGCAAAAUAAGAGUGUUGAUUCCUUUAUUCUGCAUAUGGUCCUGUAAAGAUAAAUUAACUAAUCUUGAAAAUUAUAGGCAUAUUACGAACAAGUGCUCUUGAGAUGAAAAGAGUGCAUUGCCCUUUUAUUCGUUACAUUUAUCAUACUAAAAGUCUAGAUGUGCUCUUUUAAUGUCACGUUAGAAGUUCAUCUUGGGCUUCAGUAACUGAAUGUAAUCAGUUUUAUGAAAAUACUCAUCCAUGCCUCAUUUGUCUUGGUCCUUCAGUUUGGAUUGGUGCACAUAUCAACUGGGGAUCUUUUAAGAGCUGAAGUGUCUUCUGGGACAGAAAUUGGAAAUAAAGCAAAAGAAUUUAUGAAUGCUGGCCGUCUUGUUCCGGAUGAAAUAGUGACAGCUGUACUGAAAUUUUCUAACUCACAUUUGUGUUUUUUCUUUAUCAUAUAGUUUAAAGUACUAAUGCUUUGCUUUGUAGAUGGUCACAGCACGAUUAUCUCGUGAAGACGCAGUAGAAAGAGGGUGGCUUCUAGAUGGUUAUCCAAGGAGUUUUGCUCAAGCACAAAGUCUGGAAAAACUGAAAAUUAGGCCAGAUAUUUAUAUCGUAUUAGAUGUAUGUGAACCACAUGUUUAUGCUUUUUAUUUUUAUUUUUUAUUUAUAAUAUGUAUAUUGGUCAUCAUCCACUAUAGCUUUCCUUCAUUCCCUCUGAAAUUAUAAAACGUAAAUCUGCUUAGCUGAAAGAUUAUCUGGUAUAUGAACCAUCAUAGACUUCUGCUUAAUAUGCCUUAAGAAUUGAAUAUUCUAUUUGUUUUGCAUCUUUCACAAUCUUUGAUAAAAUCAUCUUAGUUGUUCAUACAUAAUCGUUUAUUUAUCAAAUUGAUCUUUUACAUAGAUGUGUUUCUUAAUACUCAGGUUCCUGAUGAAAUUCUAAUCAACAGAUGCAUUGGUAGAAGGCUAGACCCAGUGACAAGGAAGAUUUAUCACAUAAAGAAUUUCCCUCCAGAGACUGAGGAAAUUAAAGCUAGGCUUGUUAUUCGUCCUGAUGAUACUGAGGAAAAAGUAUGGUUUGCAUACUGACAUUUUUGUCUUUUUCACUCUCAUUGUCAUUCCCUUUUAGAUGAUUGCAUAUCAUUAAGUCUCAUGAUUGUAAUACUCUUUUGUCUAUUUAACCUGAUUUACUAUGAGGUUCUGUGUCUAGCACCUAAAUUUUCUUUUCUUUGUGCAAUAUUUGUUUAGGUGAAGUCACGUCUAGAGAUAUAUAAGCAAAAUUCAGAAGCAAUCUCAUCCACUUACUUGAAAAUAAUGACCAAGGUGUCUGCAAAUUGAUUAUACUUUAUCCACUUUCUUUUUGCCUCUAUCUAUGUGAAUCUAUGUUAGUGAUGUCUGCUUGUUAUAUUUUAUCUUGUAAACACAGAUUGAUGGAAACCGUCCAAAAGAAGAAAUUUUCAAAGAAAUAGAAUCUUUUCUUUUGCAAGUGCAGAAAGAUAAAGAAAAGAUGGAGAAAUCAGGCAAGUAUUUUCAGGAUUUAAAGCAUGUUAGUUAAGAGCAUAUGGUUAGGAUUUGCAGAAACAAUCAAGCUUGUUUCAAGAUAUUUUUUCUGGUUCUAUAUGGUCACUUCUUUUAGUCUUGACUCUAUUCUGGGAGACAUUAUCUAUUUUUAAGUGGCAUUCUUCUACUGUUUACUUAAUUAUGUACUUUAUCAGCAGUUAAGCUUCACGACAAUAUCAAUCUUCUUCUUCUUUUUUAUUAUUUAUUUAUUUUAGUUGUUUUUAUAUAUUUCCUUUAGCUGCCAACCAAGUAUUCCCAUAUUUUGUUUCCACUUUUGGGUGGUCAUUUCUUUUUACUGAAUUAUGGCUUAGGAAAUUUAUCCCAAAAAAAAAAAGAAUUAUGGCUCAGGAAUGUUACCGUUUGGUUCAGGCUGGAAUUGGAAAAUACAAGAUGAACGAAAGGGAACCUUAUUGCUCAAGAAAUUAGCUGUCUUGUUAAGCAUUUUAACAAACUUACUUUCCAUUUCUGUGUGUGAGAGAGAGAGAGAGAUGAACAGAGGGUUACAUUCUAAUGAAAAAUAAAAUUUUUGCAUUCAUUUUUCAUUGUUUACUUUGUAUGCUUAAUCGGCCCUUGUCCGUUGACAUUGUUACUUCCUUUUUAUUGGUACCUUGCUUUGCUAAGUAUAAAAUUUUAAGAGUUUUUUAAACCUUGAUGGCGUGGGAGUUGAAUAGUCUCUCCCACAAGUUGAAGAUUUCUCCUUACGGAACCUUGCAUUUAAGUAAAACCCAAUGUUCAAGACAUCACUUGUUUUGUUUCUGUCCCCCCCCCCCCACCCCCCCCCCUAAAAAUUAUUACAAAGAGACCUUUCAAUUUUUGGUUAUGUCAUUCUGUCUAUGGAAAUAAAAUGAAUUUGCUAUAGUUCUGUUAUCUAGGCCAACACUGUGUGUGCAGGUCCAGCAAGUCUAACUAAUAUGCAGAAAGAAUGAAAGAUGCUUGCCUUAUGUGAAUGUCUUAUUUUUAGUCAUCCCUUCUUUUAGUUAUCUAGUUCUGUGGCCUGUGUUGGCACAUGGCUUUGCUUUUGAUUUCCUGUUGACAUUUCUCAACUUAAUCAUUGUCUAGUUGGCAUCUCUAUGUACAGAAGAAUCUUCAAAAACCAGUAUGAUGCUAACAUUCAUAUCUCUAACUCAAGCCAUGAACGUAGAAGACUCAAUUAUUUUUAAACUUGUACCAGUGACUAGCUUAAGGUUCUUUCGUUUUUAAAAUUCCAUCUUUUUCACUCUUUGCACCAGGGAAUACACUACUUGAAAGUAAGAGCCAUAAGAUUCAGGCAUCUACAAGCGAGGUAUGAUCUAUACAGUGUAAACUUAAUGAUGAUUGUUUUCUGUAUUUAAAGUUUCACUUUUAUGUAAAGCUUCAUUAAAUAAUCUCUGUUGUAUUUCUUUUCUUAUUUUACUUUAGCUUUUUACAGGAUAAUUGGAGAGGGAUUCCUACUAGAUUGAAUAACAUUCCUCACUCAAGGGGAAUUAGGGAAUAUUUUUAUAAAGACGUGCUAGAAGCAACACAAAGAGCCAUAAAUGAUGGAAGAACUCGACUAAAGGUUUGGUAUUGAUCUUUAUUUCUUUUUGGCUGGAGAUUAAUUUAUUUUGGUACACCAAUGAUUCAGGUUUAUUUAUCAUCAACGAUAUAAUUCCUUCAUUUAUAUUUUGUUUCUAAGUCAUUUGCAUGCUUGGUGGAAACUAUAAAAUAGAUCACUAUUUCAGAAAAUGAACUGUAUCAGUUACAACUAAUAUUCAUAUCCUCUUUUUUGGGAUUAUUUUUUACUCAGAGAAUAUAUUUGUAAUUACUUAAACCAGUCCAAUUCAUGUGAUUAAUUUAUUUUGGACAUGGUUUUGGGAAGGUUAUGGAUAUGAAGUGCAUCAAGUUCAGAGAAAAUAAAAGGGUCUGUAGAUCAGUCCCCAUUAAACCAACUAUAGAUGUAGCUAACUACUAUUUAGAGUCUGUUUGGAUAUCGCUUAUUGCUAAAAACUGAAAACUUAUUAAUGAAAAUACUGUAACAAAAUAAUUUUUAAAUUAUGAAUAGUGCCUGUGGGAUCCAGUUUUAAAGUUACAUUUGCUUUAUUAAAAAACUUGCAGGUCCUGUGAACAAUGCACGGGAUCUAGGGAAAAAUGCAAACGCUAGCUGCGUUUGCUAUCCAAACUCACACUUAAAGAUGUUGUGAGAGAGAAACAAGUUUUUUCCUUUCAUUCCAGUACAAUUUGCACUUACACUAAAUAUUAAGUGGCUUUACUGUUUGCAAAGAUAUCUUCACCAAUGAACUGGAUUAAUCUUGUUUCAUUUCUCUUUUAAAUUUGACAGGUGGAGAAUAAUAUUCCAGAGCUGAACCCAGAAAUGGUAAAGGGCUUUUUCCUUAAUUCUCCAAGUGUCUUUUUGUUUUUAACAAUAUCUUAUGAUGCACAGGAUGUUUAUCGAAUAGGUACUUUAAUGGAACUUGUUCGAGUUCUUGCUCUUUCAUUUGCUGAUGAUGGAAAACAAGUCAAGGUGAUUUUAUCUGGCUUGCCUCUAACAUGGAUUUUCCAAUAAUAAUAUGCUAAAUUGAACUUUUCAUGUAUUCAGUCUUCCAAUCUUUUUUUCUUUUAGGUUUGUGUGCAAGGAUCUAUGGGGGAAGGUGCAUUGGCGGGAAUGCCAUUGCAGCUUGCUGGUACUCGAAAGAUCCUAGAGUAUAUGGAUUGGGGUGAAUAUGGUGCGCUGGGUACUUUUAUCAAGAUUGGUUCUGUAGGUAUAGAACCGAAUAGAAAAUCAUGUUUCAUUUUUGACUUAGCUUGUAAUCUUAUGCAUCAUCUUUAUGGAUUGCAUCUAUAGAUAUGCAUAUUCUAGAAUCUUUAUUAAGUAUCCUUGAAAAAAGUGCUGAUAAAGCCUGUAUGAUGAUGAUAUAUAUAAUUGGUAGGAUGGUGCUCUCAAAAUGCAUGUAGACUUGUUGACAGAAUACAUAUCUCUAUCUAUUUGCAUUGCUAUUUUAGUAAGAAACCCGUCAUUUUUUUUACUUAAAAAAAUGUGCUAAGCACAAGUUCUUCAUCUUAUUUCCAUAACCCAACUUGAAUUGCAAUUAUCUUCUAUUUGCCUUUGUUCGUUCUAAUACACUGAUAAAAAUCAAGCAGGCAUAUAUGUAUCAUAUAUGCUUACCAGAAAAGCUAAUUUUUGUGCAUCGAAAGGCACUGCAAUCCACCAAAUUUUAAAUGCAUUAGUUUUGUUGCUUAUCCUUUCUUAAGGGUUCAUUUGCCAUUGAUAGCUAGAUCCAUGAGUGCAUGGAUACAGUGGCAGUGCUUAUAUGAAGUGGAAUACUCUACAAAUCGUUUCCUUUCUUUUGGAUAAUUAAUCUCUUACAAUCCUUAUACAAGCAGGCAUCAUACAAAAGAUCUGCUAUCAAUUCUGUUCUUCAUUACAUGUGUGACUUAUAGUUUCAAUUGCAUUUGCAGGUGCCAAAGAGGUUGAUGAGCAAGAUGACAUGUUUAUCAUAGUGGCUCCUCAGAAUGCUGUUGGGAAUUGUAUUAUUGAUGUAAGGAACUCAGCAAAUCUUCUGCUAAAACAUUUAGGACAUUGCAUUGUCUAGUGUCCUUUAGUUUUACUAUUCUGUAUUUAGUGGUCUUGAGGUUGAAUGUGCAGGAUCUAAAAGCAAUGACUGAUGCUGCUGGGAACCGGCCAGUUAUUCUUAUCAAUCCUAGGCUCAAGGUUCAAUACCUUUUGUAACUUCAGCUGAUAUCCCUUUCGUGGAAUGAUUUUGUAAUUUAUUAUAUGUGAUCACUCUGUCCUACAUUCAAUUACACACACACACACACACAAAGUAAAUUGGAGAAUAUAUAGAUGAAUUUGUGAACUUGGUUUCUUGGCCUGAACUCCAUGACUAGCAGGCUCUAUCUAUUUUCUUUUGUUAGAUUUAAACUCCAUAACACUUGUCACUGUACUUAACCAAGCAUUACAUAGAAAGCACUCUUGGUGAUAUUAAGCCAUAUACAUGAGCAAGAUCCUUUUUAAGGUGAACACACCUUGAAGUGCUACUUGGACUUUUUUUUCCACAUAUUUUUUCUGGAAUUGUUUCAACAAUACACUCAGAUAGACAUUUCCAAUUUCCUGAAAUUCUAUAGAGGAAAUCAGAUCAAACUGUGAGGUCUGUUAGAUUGCUUGUAUUUAGAUCAGGCAUUCAGGUUACUUGUGUAAAAUCUUCACCAAUGUACAUUCUUUUCCGGCAUACUGUUAUGCUUUUGCUGCUAUCCUCCAACCACGAUUUUAGAAGAAUUUUUUGCAGAUACUUAUUUAUCUGUGUGACUGAUAUAUAUGAAUUUCCUCAAAUUCAGGAUUUACCUGGUUCCAGUGGUAUCAUGCAAGUAAGUUUUGAUCCUGCAAUUUGUCAUAUUUACCUAAAUAUAAACCCAUCAAUUUAUACCUUUUUGGUUUCUCUUAUAGACAAUGGGUCGUGACAAGCGAUUAGAAUAUGCCGGAUCAUUCCAAAAUUGCUAUUUCUUUCGGCUUCUCUAUUAUGCAGGAACCCAGUAUCCAAUUAUGGGUGCUCUCAGGUAAAGAUAUUGCAAGUUUAGUACUUUUUAUAUGUUACCCAAAUCUUUUGAUCAUCCUUUGUCUAUAAUUCUUUGUUGAGUUGUUGUUGUUUCCCCCCCACCCCCUAAUAAGUAAUAUGAACUCACAAAAAAGGGGGGCAAAGGUACAACACUAUCCUUGAAUACAGGAUGUCUACAAAAGAAAAGCCUAAAAAGCAGAUAGAGAAAACAGAAAACACAAAUGGAGAAAACUUAGUCACACACACAGAGACCCACACAUGCACUCAAAAAAAUUCUAGAUGCUUAAGUGUUGGUCAUCAUCGAAAUGGUCAUAUAUGGAUAAUUGUUCCCCAUUGUUUAAUAUGGUGUCUUUGGAGGGAAAAAAAUAGUAGGUGUUUUGAAGAUAAUGAGAGAUCCGUACCAGACCUCAAGUUAUUUUUCUUUAGAACUUUAUUGGAUUGGUUGUAUGCUUUGCAAAAUCAAUCAUUCACGUCUUUUCUUGAUUUUCUUGAUUCUUGUAAUUUUUGUACUAGAUUUGUUGACUCCUAUACACUCCCUGUGUACUAGGGUGUCCCUAUUUUGAUAUCAGGAAAACUUAAUACUUAUCAAAAGCAAUUCUAGAUGUUUAAGCGCAUAAGAUUUCUUACCUCAAAGAUAGAUGGUGUGGUAGAUGGGAACACUUGUUGUUUCCUAUUUCGUUUCCUUGUAUAGUGAGUACUGAGUUGAGUAAUCUCAAAAUGGUGCUCCAUCUAUUGUUUGAAAGACAAUGCAUUACAUGAUAUGGUGCUGCGGACACCAAAUAAUGCUGAUUGGUUUUGUUGGACCUGAUUGAUUGUGAUGUUAAUGGAUGCUAUUAGAGAGAUUUGAUGGCUAUUUGAAUUUUAUUGCUAGAUAUGAUGUAAUCUUAUUAUGAAUAAUUUUUCCUUGUUUGAUGGAAAUUGGGAACUCUAUUUAAAGGGUUCAAAAUUCAUUGUUGUAAGUAGUUGAUGAUGGAUUUAUAAAAUUUGGAUUUGAAGUUUUCUUCUAGUGCUUGGUGUUGAUUCCAAGCAGGCCCAAGUGCUGAUUUUUAGGUUCCUAUCAUGAUUGGUGCUGAUUCCAACAGCCCUAGGUGCUGAUACCUAGGUUUUAUUUUUUUGUUUUAAUUACUUGGUGCUUAUUCCAAAUAAACCCUUUGUGUUGAUUCCUAGGUCCUAUCCCUUUAUUUUAUUCUUCUUUUGCUUCCCAAGCACAAGUUUGCCCUCUAGAGUUUAUUGUCUUGUGUCACAAUGUCCCUUGAAAAGUUGGUUCUAAGAAUAGACAAACAAAAUGCGAUGGAUUUGAAGUUCAAACAAACCUCAUUUAUCAUGAGACUGACAAAAAGUCCAUCAUAAAGCAAUGGAAUUCCCGUCCUUAAGUUUUACAAAAAUAUGGAAAUGCCAAACUUGGAAAAACUAGAGAAAUGUCCUAAUAAAUUAUAGAAAGAUAACCCCUUUCACUUGCAAUACUAGAUAAUAUGAAUUAAGGGGGAAAAUGGGCAUAUGUCCAUAAUUUUAAAACUAUGCAAUAAAAUACCCCUGUUUUGAAACUAUUUAACAAAAUUCUUUUUUUAAACUCGAUUUUAACAAAAUCGAGUUUUGUGUAAAACUUGAGAUCCUCAAAAUCAAGUUUUGUGUAUAUUUUUGAGUGUAACUCAACAUUAGCAAUGUCUAUUAAGCACUGUGUCCCUGUUCUAAUGUCGAAUUACACUUAAAUUUCAAAAAAAUUUAAGUAAUUAAACUCAUGGUGCUUAAUAGUUUCAAAACAAGGACAUUGUGCUAGAUAUUUUAAAAAAUAAGGGCAAAAGCCCAUUUUCCCCAUGAAUUAAGUGUGUUAGUUGGAUUAAAAUUCUCUUCCAAAAACAUUUGGUACAAAGGAAAUUUUACAUAAAAGACAAAAUUGUGUUCUAUUGUACCACUGAUUGCACUUUUUCAAAUGAGUACUGGACCAUUGCCUUUUAAACUUUUCAAAUUGUGGCUCGAUUGGCAAAUCCUUUUCCCAACUUGUUUUCGUAGUGUGGCAUGUCUUUGCAAUGCUUACAUAUGUUGAAGAUUCUUUUUCUUCCCUGUCAUAUGGACAAUUUUUUAUUCAAAAUCUCAAACCUGAUUUAACAUAAGACAUUUGGCUACAUGAGUACAAAGUAUAAUGUUUCCUUUUUGGUAAAAGACCUGUUCAACAUUUUGAUAUAUAAUGGAAGUACUUACACCAUUAUGUGAUUGGAGCAAAGCUUAAAACCAUAUCCUUGUUCUCAAUUUUUGAAAAUGACGUCCUGUCCUAGAUAUAGCAUCAAUAUCUAUCCCAAUUGUAUUUGGGUAUUCAUUAUUUUAAUUUUAUUGAUUAAGUAGGAGUUACACGCACAAUCCAAUGAAGAGAUGGAUGUGUUACAUUAAUCUGCUGCAAAAUUUUAUUACCAAAAAUACUAAUAUGAACAAUACCUUAAAAGUAUUCUCACCUCAUUGUUUCAGGAUGUCUUACCCAUAUCGUUGUGAGUUGUAUAAGAGGAUAGAUGAACCAUCUGGAAAGGAGAAGUAUGUGAUCUUGUCUACAUUUACUGAAAGGCCAACCAUUGAUGAAAUUAAUGAUGCCUUCCAAGGAAAACCAAGGUAACUCACAUUUGAUUGUUGUAUAUUAAUAUUUUUUGGAUAAUUUCCUUUACGCUAUGUUCUUGUUUCUGUUCACUUUCAAAAACCAGUGCCAUGAUUAAACCCAUUCAUUUCAUUAACAAAUGCAGAAAUGAAGCUAAGAAUACCUCAGGAAUUUGGUAAGAAACAUCACAUCUUACUUAUUUCUGGUUGUUAUUAUCCCCUAAUUUUUUAAAUGAUUUAUCCUCUGUUCUUUUGUAGGGGCUUCUUGAGUGGUAUAUUUUGA
rnacentral:sRNA from 1 species